rnacentral:rRNA from 1 species
UACGUAGGGAGCGAGCGUUGUCCGGAUUUAUUGGGUGUAAAGGGUGCGUAGGCGGCUUUGCAAGUCAGGCGUGUAAUCCAGAGGCUUAACCUCUGAACUGCGCUUGAAACUGCUUGGCUUGAGUGGAGUAGAGGCAGAUGGAAUUUCCAGUGUAGCGGUGAAAUGCGUAGAUAUUGGAAGGAACACCAGUGGCGAAGGCGAUCUGCUGGGCUCUUACUGACGCUGAGGCACGAAAGCAUGGGGAGCAAAC